rnacentral:rRNA from 1 species
CCAGAUUGAACGCUGGCGGCAGGCCUAACAUGCGGUCAGACGACGGGAAGAAGCUUGCUUCUUUGCUGACGAGUGGCGGACGGGUGAAGUAAUGUCUGGGAAACUGCCUGAUGGAGGAUAUGCGAGCAGUAGCUGUACCGCCUUAACGUCGCAGGGAAUAUUGAGGGGGACCUUCAGGCCUCAUCGGAUAUUGCUGAAUGCGGAUUAGCCGGUAGGUGGGGUGCUGCCGACACUAGGCGGCGAAUCUAACUGGUCUGAGGAGGAUGACCAGCCACACUGCGGAACUGGGGCCGGUCCCAAGACUCUACGGGAGGCAGCAGUGGGGAAUAACUACAAUGGGCACAAGCCUGAUGCAACCAUUAUGAAAGCGCUGGGUUAGCAAAAGUACUUUCAGCGGGGAGAGGGAGUAAAGUUAAUACCUUUGCUCGGCGACGUUACAGAAGAGCACCGGCUAACUCGUGCCAGCAGCCGCGGUAAUGGGUGCAAGGCGUUAAUCGAUUACUGGGCGUAAAGCGCGGGCGGACUGUUAAGUCAGAUGUCUUGAAAUCCCGGGCUCAACACAGGAACUGCAUGGUACUGGCAAGCACCGAGUCGUGGGGUAAAUUCCGGUGUAGCGUUGAAAUGCGAGGAUCUGGAGGAAUGCAGGUGGCGAGAGCGGCCGGACGAAGACUGACACUCAGGUGAAACGUGAGGCUUAAACAGGAUGAUACCACGGUGGUCACGCCGUAAACGAUGUCGACUUGGAGGUUUGUGCGCCAGGGCGGCGGCUUCCGGAGCUAACGCGUUAAGUCGGCCGCACACGGUGGCCGCAAAGGUUAAACUCAAAUGGUGACGGGGCCGCGGCGGCGGUGGGCAUGUGGUUUAGUCGGUACGACUGAAAGAACCUUGCAGGUGCUUGACAUCCACCCGGAAGUUUUCCAGAGAUGAGGCACCUUCGCAGAGACGGAAUUUUGGCUGUCGUCAGCUCUGUGUUGUGGGAAAUGUUGGGUUGGAGUCCGCAACGGAAGCGCAACCUUAUCUUUGUUGCUGGCGGUCCCGGCCAGGGAAAGCUUCAAAGGGGAGACUGCCAGUAAACUGGAGAGGUGGGGAUGACGUCAAGUCAUCGCCCAAACCCCUCCCGACCGAGGCUACACGUGCUACAAUGGCGCAUACAAAGAGAGAAGCGACCUCGCGAGAGCAAACGGACCUCAUAUAAAGUGCGUCGUAGUCCAGUUGGAGUCUGCAACUCGACUCAUGGUCGGAAUCGCCCCAGUAAUCGUGGAUCGAUACGGUGAAUACGUUCUGAGCCUUGUACACACCGCCAAUCACACCAGCAAAUUGGAUUACAAAAGAAAGUGGGUAACUUAACCCGGAGACGCUUACCACUUUGUGGUUGUGACUGGGGUGAUCAUGCUGAGCAAUGGGGAACCUGCGGUUGGAUCACCCUGCUUACCUUAAAG